GCGGAGGAAAAGAAACCAACAGGGAUUGCCCUAGUAACGGCGAGUGAAGCGGCAACAGCUCAAAUUUGAAAUCUGGCGUCUUCGGCGUCCGAGUUGUAAUUUGCAGAGGGCGCUUUGGCAUUGGCAGCGGUCCAAGUUCCUUGGAACAGGACGUCACAGAGGGUGAGAAUCCCGUACGUGGUCGCUAGCCUUUACCGUGUAAAGCCCCUUCGACGAGUCGAGUUGUUUGGGAAUGCAGCUCUAAAUGGGAGGUAAAUUUCUUCUAAAGCUAAAUACUGGCCAGAGACCGAUAGCGCACAAGUAGAGUGAUCGAAAGAUGAAAAGCACUUUGGAAAGAGAGUUAAAAAGCACGUGAAAUUGUUGAAAGGGAAGCGCUUGCAGCCAGACUUGCCUGUAGUUGCUCAUCCGGGUUUCUACCCGGUGCACUCUUCUAUAGGCAGGCCAGCAUCAGUUUGGGCGGUUGGAUAAAGGUCUCUGUCAUGUACCUCUCUUCGGGGAGAACUUAUAGGGGAGACGACAUGCAACCAGCCUGGACUGAGGUCCGCGCAUCUGCUAGGAUGCUGGCGUAAUGGCUGUAAGCGGCCCGUCUUGAAACACGGACCAAGGAGUCUAACAUCUAUGCGAGUGUUUGGGUGUCAAGCCCGAGCGCGUAAUGAAAGUGAACGGAGGUGGGAACCUUUCGGGGUGCACCAUCGACCGAUCCUGAUGUCUUCGGAUGGAUUUGAGUAAGAGCAUAGCUGUUGGGACCCGAAAGAUGGUGAACUAUGCUUGAAUAGGGUGAAGCCAGAGGAAACUCUGGUGGAGGCUCGCAGCGGUUCUGACGUGCAAAUCGAUCG
rnacentral:sRNA from 1 species